GCACCCGUAGCUCAGCUGGAUAGAGCACCAGACUACGAAUCUGGGGGUCUGAGGUUCGAAUCCUCACGGGUGCGCCA
rnacentral:tRNA from 3 species